UACGUAGGGCGCAAGCGUUGUCCGGAAUUAUUGGGCGUAAAGAGCUCGUAGGCGGCUUGUCACGUCGGAUGUGAAAGCCCGAGGCUUAACCUCGGGUCUGCAUUCGAUACGGGCUAGCUAGAGUGUGGUAGGGGAGAUCGGAAUUCCUGGUGUAGCGGUGAAAUGCGCAGAUAUCGGAAGGAACAUCAGUGGCGAAAGCGGCUUCCUGGACCAGCACCGACGUUCAGGCACGAAAGCGUGGGGAGCAAACAGG
rnacentral:rRNA from 1 species